AGUCGAGCGAACGGACGAGAAGCUUGCUUCUCUGAUGUUAGCGGCGGACGGGUGAGUAACACGUGGAUAACCUACCUAUAAGACUGGGAUAACUUCGGGAAACCGGAGCUAAUACCGGAUAAUAUUUUGAACCGCAUGGUUCAAAAGUGAAAGACGGUCUUGCUGUCACUUAUAGAUGGAUCCGCGCUGCAUUAGCUAGUUGGUAAGGUAACGGCUUACCAAGGCAACGAUGCAUAGCCGACCUGAGAGGGUGAUCGGCCACACUGGAACUGAGACACGGUCCAGACUCCUACGGGAGGCAGCAGUAGGGAAUCUUCCGCAAUGGGCGAAAGCCUGACGGAGCAACGCCGCGUGAGUGAUGAAGGUCUUCGGAUCGUAAAACUCUGUUAUUAGGGAAGAACAUAUGUGUAAGUAACUGUGCACAUCUUGACGGUACCUAAUCAGAAAGCCACGGCUAACUACGUGCCAGCAGCCGCGGUAAUACGUAGGUGGCAAGCGUUAUCCGGAAUUAUUGGGCGUAAAGCGCGCGUAGGCGGUUUUUUAAGUCUGAUGUGAAAGCCCACGGCUCAACCGUGGAGGGUCAUUGGAAACUGGAAUACUUGAGUGCAGAAGAGGAAAGUGGAAUUCCAUGUGUAGCGGUGAAAUGCGCAGAGAUAUGGAGGUACACCAGUGGCGAAGGCGACUUUCUGGUCUGUAACUGACGCUGAUGUG
rnacentral:rRNA from 1 species